rnacentral:rRNA from 1 species
UGACUUGGCAUAAUAAGUAUUUUGCUAAGGACAUCUUCGGAUGGCCAGGACUUGACUUUUGUCUGCUUACUAAACCUUACUUUAAGUGCAUCUCUGGUGUUACUUAUAGUAUUACUUUGACAUAUGGCCUCAAAUCAGGUAGGACUACCCGCUGAACUUAAGCAUAUCAAUAAGCGGAGGAAAAGAAACUAACAAGGAUUCCCCUAGUAACGGCGAGUGAAGCGGGAAGAGCUCAAAUUUGAAAUCUGGUGGCCUCAGGUCAUCCGAGUUGUAAUCUAUAGAAACGUUUUCCGUGCUGGCUCAUGUACAAGUCCCUUGGAACAGGGCGUCAUAGAGGGUGAGAAUCCCGUCCUUGACAUGAACUACCAGUGCUCUGUGAUACGUUUUCAACGAGUCGAGUUGUUUGGGAAUGCAGCUCAAAAUGGGUGGUAAAUUCCAUCUAAAGCUAAAUAUUGGCGAGAGACCGAUAGCGAACAAGUACCGUGAGGGAAAGAUGAAAAGCACUUUGGAAAGAGAGUUAAACAGUAUGUGAAAUUGUUAAAAGGGAAACGAUUGAAGUCAGUCGUGCUCUUUGGAUUCAGCCGGUUCUGCCGGUGUACUUCCAUUGAGUGGGGUCAACAUCAGUUUUGAUCGCUGGAUAAAGGCAGGAAGAAUGUAGCACCUCCGGGUGAACUUAUAGCUUUCUGUCACAUACAGUGGUUGGGACUGAGGAACGCAGCAUGCCUUUAUGGCCGGGAUUCGUCCACGU